rnacentral:rRNA from 1 species
GACGAACGCUGGCGGCGUGCCUAAUACAUGCAAGUCGAACGGUCUUUUCUAUGGAAGCUUGCUUCCACUGAGAAGAUAGUGGCGGACGGGUGAGUAACGCGUGGAUAACCUACCCUGUACAGGGGAAUAACAAUGGGAAACCAUUGCUAAUACCCCAUAACACCUUAAAGGGGCAUCCCAUUAAGGUCAAAGAAAUUCGGUAUAGGAUGGGUCCGCGUCUGAUUAGCUAGUUGGUGGAGUAAAAGCCUACCAAGGCGACGAUCAGUAGCCGACCUGAGAGGGUGAUCGGCCACACUGGAACUGAGACACGGUCCAGACUCCUACGGGAGGCAGCAGUGGGGGAUAUUGCACAAUGGGGGAAACCCUGAUGCAGCGACGCC